UACGUAGGGUCCGAGCGUUGUCCGGAAUUACUGGGCGUAAAGAGCUCGUAGGUGGUUUGUCGCGUUGUUCGUGAAAACUCACAGCUCAACUGUGGGCGUGCGGGCGAUACGGGCAGACUGGAGUACUGCAGGGGAGACUGGAAUUCCUGGUGUAGCGGUGGAAUGCGCAGAUAUCAGGAGGAACACCGGUGGCGAAGGCGGGUCUCUGGGCCGAUACUGACGCUGAGGAGCGAAAGCAUGGGGAGCGAACAGG
rnacentral:rRNA from 1 species